GUACUGCUGAAGAGUACCACAAUAAGACGAAACGGCCGUCCAGUGC
rfam:Schistosoma mansoni strain Puerto Rico chromosome 6, complete genome